CUCCUUCGUAUCGAGAAUGAUUUGCAGAUAAAGGAUAAGGGGGUCGAUUCCCAGAGAUAGAGGAAUGAUUGUAGCCCAAUGAGGGCAGAGAAUUAACUCCCUCAACAAGUGAUUCCAUCUAUCAAUUCAAAAGAAGCACUCCACCCUCCAAAAUACAACAGAGCAAAAUGAAUCCUAAUCCAAAAUGAUAACUAACACAAUAAAUAUUCAACACACAACAUUUUUAAUACUGAUAAAAUCAACAUCAUAAUUGAACGUUCCCCAAUAAACAAGUAAUUGAGGAAAAUGCAUACACUUCAAUUAUUUCUUUUCCAAAUCUGCUAAAAUUCACCAAAUCAACAUAUACCCAUUACCGAUAGAACUCACAACAGCUCAUGCAAGUCAAGAAACUCCCAAAAGAUAGCAUUUGAAAGAAAACCAAAAUUUGCUUCACAAUCAAAUGAACCCACCACAAACUAAGCCUUUUGCAAACACUACAGUUAAAGAAGUAAAAUAAAACAGUAGUUACGUAAAC
rnacentral:lncRNA from 1 species